rnacentral:rRNA from 1 species
GUGUCAGCAGCCGCGGUAAUACGAAGGGUGCAAGCGUUACUCGGAAUUACUGGGCGUAAAGCGUGCGUAGGCGGUUCGUUAAGUCUGACGUGAAAUCCCCGGGCUCAACCUGGGACGUGCGUUGGAAACUGGCGAUCUAGAGUACGGUAGAGGGUGGUGGAAUUCCCGGUGUAGCAGUGAAAUGCGUAGAGAUCGGGAGGAACACUCGUGGCGAAGGCGGCCACCUGGACCAGUACUGACGCUGAGGCACGAAAGCGUGGGGAGCAAACAGGAUUAGAAACCCCAGUAGUCC